CUUUAGGUCUCACAUGUUUUGCAUCUAAAUGGCCUGAAGAGGCUGCCUCACCUCAUCUCCUCGCCUUCAUCUCGAUGAAUCUGAAAACACAGAAUAGGUUUCUGUCUGUAAUGCCAAGGACCUGAAGUUGACUGUGUGGCGGAUGCUCUUACAUUGCAUUCUGUCAAACCGCCUUGCCAUUGUCACAACCUUGACUGGGGCAGAGCAUAAGGCCUGUUUCAGGGACUUGUUUCUGAAGACCAUUCUUCACAAAGCCAUUCGGAAGAACCUGCAACCCAGGAUGCCAUGGAUAAGGGGGUCCAGAUUCAGGUCACCCUUUAGCUGAAAGGGGCCUCCGAUUGUGAAGGCGGGAGAAGGCGGCGGACAGGGGAGAGGGAUCGGCUGCAGUGAGGGUCAGCAUCAAGUCUCGGACCACCUAUCUCAAAACCAGCCUCUACCCCCAAGCCACAAGACUGAUCCAACAGCUGAACCCUGGGCUGACUCCUGCACCCUACCACACACUUACCAUUUAUUCAUAUUCUGUACACACUUAAAUUACUUUAGUCUACCGGACCAAUGUAAUAGUUAUGUCACCUAACUGCACUAUGUAGAUAUACUUUCAUUAUAGUUCUAUGCUGCUACUGCACUGUAGUUAUUCCACUCUAAGCACAUGGGUAAAAAAAAAUGUCCAUACUAUAUGAAUGUAGGCUAAUUUGGUUUUUAUCUUAAGGCUAUUUUGGUUUUUAUCUUAAGGCUAUUUUGGUUUUUAUCUUAAGGCUAUUUUGGUUUGAUCUUAUUCUUAUUUACAUCUUAUUUUCUUUGAUCUGCAUGCUUCUUUUUGCACUUGUUUUAUUGUUUUAUUGUUUUAUUGUUUUAUUGUUAGUACGUCGCAUAGUCAAGGAACUAUGACACAUUGAUUGCAGUCAGUUUUGUUCCCAUUGCACUGUGUGAGAAGCCUAUCUAUAUUAUUAUUCGUUCAAAUGGACAUGGCAUCCAAUCUAUCUUAAAUAAUAAACGUAAAUGAAUAAAUAAGUGGAGAAAGGGAGUGAAGGGUGGG
ensembl:lncRNA